rnacentral:rRNA from 1 species
UACAGAGGGGGCAAGCGUUAUUCGGAAUUAUUGGGCGUAAAGGGCGCGUAGGCGGCUUUGCAAGUGACGGGUGAAAUCCCUCGGCUUAACCGGAGGAACUGCCUGUCAGACUGCAUGGCUUGAGACCGGGGAGAGGUGGAGUGGAAUUCCCAGUGAUAGCGGUGAAAUGCGUAGAUAUCGAGAGGAACACCUGGCGGCGAAGGCGGGUUGCUGGGCCGACACUGACGCUGGAUGCGGCGAAAGCCGGGGAGCGAAACGGG